rnacentral:lncRNA from 1 species
AAAUAUUUUACUAGAUUGUAUUUAUGGUUAACAGUAUCUUGCACUACAAUUUAUAUUUAGAUAAUCAUUCAUUUUAAAAUUAUUUAUUGAGCACCUACUAUGUGUUAGGUAUUAGGUACAGAGCAAUGAAUACAGCAAGCACAGUUCCUCACCUCGUGGACCUGACACUGUAGUGUGAGAGAUAAUAAGCAAAUGAUAUAAGGCCAUGCAGUAGUUAAAUGCUAUGAAGAAACAUAAAAUCUGGUACAGGGACAGAGAGUAGGGAGGGAGCUCUUGUUAUAAAGGGUGGCCAGGAAAGACCAAGUUGUGUAGCAGAGGCCUGAAGGAAGCCAGGGACCAAGCCAUAUGAAUUUUCUCAGAUAGGUGUAUUCUAGUUAUAGAGAACAGCAACUGGAACGGUCCUGAGAAGGGAACAUUCCUGGAACAUUCAAGAACUAGCCAAGAGAUCAGCAAGUCUAUAGUAAAAAGAAACAUAGUAGAUAGUCAUCUAGUGUUUUCUUCUCUUCCUUCCUAUUAUCUCUCAUACCAUGUCAUGUUACUUUUCUAAAGGAUCUCAAUGGGGAAGAGAACAUCAUUGUCUUUAAGAUUCAAUUUUUUGUGUAUUGAAAGUCUUCAUGGUCAUUCUUUUGAGAUCAUGACCUACUACAACGUCCCCAGGCCUGCAUCCUCCACAGGCUCCAUGAGCAGAAAAGCAGACGAAUAGAAGAGCAGAGGAACAGAAGAAUAGCAGUGUGGCCGAGCAGCGUGGUAGAGAAAGAGGGAAGAGAAGCAGCAUCUGAAUGUUGAGAGGAGUUUGGCUGGGGACAGUCGGAGAGGAGAUUGGCCGCAGGACGACCCAACUCCAGGGGAGGAACAUCUUCCUACUCCAUUCGCUUCCCCACUCCCCAGCCAUUCCACUGAGAGCCACCUCCAUCUGGCAAUAAAAUCUCUUGCAUUCACUAUCCUUCAAUUUGCCUGUGUGACCUGAUUCUUCCUGGAUGCUGGACAAGAACCCAGCAUCCAGGUACCAAGAGGGCACUGGGCUGGAUAACACUUGAGCUGUCUGUGGACGGCAGAGCUAAAAGAGCACUGUAACAUGCCCACUGGGGCUUUGGGAGUUGCAGGCACCCACCCUGGAUGCUACUACCAUGGGGCUGGAGCCCAAAAGUGUUUGCCCCGCCUCCUGCACCUGCCCGUCUGCAUGCUCCCCCUCCAGUAAGGGGUUUGAGUGCACAGAGGCUGAACAGAUGAGCCACACCCCUGUCACACAUCCUGUGAAGGGGGUUAGGAAACUCUCCCAUUUCAUCUUGACCAUCUUUGAGGGACUAUUGAUGCUUUUGGUAUCAGCAGCCACAGAAUUCAUCAGACACAGCACAAAAGAGCAGGAGAAGAGAUAAUGGCAGAUGCCAGAAGGAGACGGGUUUGGCUCUGUGAUUCAUCAGAAAUAAGAAAAACAAACACUGUAAAUGGAGAACUUGAAAAAGAGGUGGGCACCAUCUCCCCACCCAAGAGAAUGGAUUUAAGAGGAAAUUUGUUUAUGGGAUGAAGUUUUAAAAGGCGACCUGGAAAAUUUAGCAAAGAUGUAAAUAAACAACUCUUCCUUGGAUUGCAUUAGGCUUCAGAAUAAAUAUAUUAACCAGCUUCAGUCAAAGUCUGCCUAGAAUCUGACCCUGACAAGACCCAGUGACUAGUGCUGCUCCGAACCUUCCCCACCAACAGCAGGCAAUUUUCUCUGUGGCAAAGCUACCUCGAAACAGGCAUCCAGGCUUCCCUCCCACGAAGUGAAGAUGAGAAAACUGAGUCUCAGAAUGGACAAGCUCACAGAUGGCAAGUGGUAGAGCAGACUUCACACAUAGCCAUCUGAGUGAGAUGGGAAGCUGAUCCUCCAGCCCUGAUCAAGCCUUCAAAUGACUGCACCUCCAGCUGACAGAUUACCAAAAGCAACCUCCUUCCAGAAGACCUUGAGCCAAAACCACUCAGCUAAGCUACUUCCAGAUCCCUGAUCCUCGGAAACUGUGCGAGACAAUAAAUGUUUAAAUGGCCACCCACUUUGGAAUAAAGAGGACAUAUAAUUUGCCUAAGGUCACAUAGCACUCUCUAAAUCAGUACAGUAUUUUAGACAAAGCUUCAACUUUGCACUUUUAUGGGUCAUUUUGAUAUAAGACUACAAGGAUAUCUCCUCCCAUGACAAACUUGACUUCAUUUACAACAAAAGGCCAAGCAAGAUACAGUACACUGUGGGGAUAAAUGGUACUCACUGAGGACAGGAAUAUGCUGACAUUAUCUCAAUUUCCUCCUCCCUCCUGUUGUUCUCCUUUGGAUGCUUUCCUGGACUAUAGGGAGAAGGAAAAUAGAGAAAGGCCAACUGCGACUAGGCCAGAGAUCAGAUGUUACCUUGUAGGAAGCAUCUCAUUCUAACCUUAAGUACUCUCUUGAUGAAGUACGGGGCCAAGAGAUUUUGGAAUUCUACCACACAAGGUUGCUCAGCAUUCCAAGAAGUAUUGAUAACUCUUCAAGAGCAAAAGUCAUUUAAAUUAAACUUCUCUGGCCGGGCAUGGUAGCUCAUAUCUGUAAACCCAGCACUUUGGGAGGCUGAGGCUGGAAGAUCACU